rnacentral:rRNA from 1 species
UUAAGCCCCAGUAAACGGCGGCCGUAACUAUAACGGUCCUAAGGUAGCGAAAUUCCUUGUCGGGUAAGUUCCGACCCGCACGAAAGGCGUAAUGAUUUGAGCACUGUCUCGACAAUGCAUCCGGUGAAAUUGAAGUACCAGUGAAGAUGCUGGUUACCUGCGCCAGGACGGAAAGACCCCAUGGAGCUUUACUCUAGCUUGAUACUGGGAUUCGAUAUUGCAUGUACAGGAUAGGUGGGAGACUAGGAGACAUGAACGCCAGUUUGUGUGGAGUCGCCCUUGGGAUACCACCCUUGCAGUAUUGGGUUUCUAACAUGCAGCCGUGAUCCGGCUGGUGGACAAUGUCAGGUGGGGAGUUUGACUGGGGCGGUCGCCUCCGAAAGGGUAUCGGAGGCGCUCAAAGGUUCCCUCAGAAUGGUUGGAAACCAUUCGAAGAGUGCAAAGGCAGAAGGGAGCUUGACUGCGACACCGACGGGUGGAGCAGGUACGAAAGUAGGACUUAGUGAUCCGGUGGUAUAAAGUGGGAUUGCCAUCGCUCAACGGAUAAAAGCUACCCUGGGGAUAACAGGCUUAUCACUCCCAAGAGUUCACAUCGACGGAGUGGUUUGGCACCUCGAUGUCGGCUCAUCGCAUCCUGGAGCUGUAGCAGGUUCCAAGGGUUGGGCUGUUCGCCCAUUAAAGCGGUACGCGAGCUGGGUUCAGAACGUCGUGAGACAGUUCGGUCCCUAUCCGGCGUGGGCGUAGGAUAUUUGAGAGGAGCUGUCCUUAGUACGAGAGGACCGGGAUGGACAAACCUCUGGUGUAUCUGUUGUUUUACCAAAGGCAUGGCAGAGUAGCCAAGUUUGGCAGGGAUAAACGCUGAAGGCAUCUAAGCGUGAAGCCCCCCUCAAGAUAAGAUAUCCCAUCUUCGGAGUAAGACCCCUUGAAGACUACAAGGUUGAUAGGCUUUGUGUGUAAGUGUGGUAACGCACUCAGCUGAGAAGUACUAAUAGGUCGAGGACUUAUCCUU